UAUUUGACUAUGAGAAAUCAGAAAUCAAACGAAUUGACAAACACAUUUCGAUGCCCAAAACGAGCUGCAAUCGCAAUUUGUUAUUUUGUCCGGUCUCUAGUUGGGCGGUGUGUGGGCCCCACACUGUGAGUGAGGCAGCAUACCUCGCUUGCCCUCUCUCACUCUCUCUCUCUCUAUAUACAUAUAUCGCUGAUUUCCCAGGGCAAUCUCUUUAGCCGCAUGCCGUGAUGGCGCUGCCAAUAAACAAACGAGCGUACCGAGCAUCUCGUGCUGCUGCUGCUGUUAUCUGCAGAGGCGUCACCAAGCUAAUCUGCUAGCUGUCAAAAGUCGUAGAAACAAUUGGAAAUGACAACAAAUAUGAAGCAACACAGAGAAACGCGCGCGCACAGUGUACAUUGUCCAUGUAAGCUGAGCCAAACCAAACACACAACACACAUACACACACAAGCAGACACCCACACAGGCACGCACACACAAGGGGCAGCCAAGUAAAUCUCCAAUUGUGAGCGAAAACUUCCUCAGAAACGGGCAACGAAAACUGCUGACAGUUGCAUAAACAAUAAAGGCUACCAAAAAAAAAAAAGAACAACAAAAAACAGACAGAGCGAGAGAGAGAAAGCAAGCGAGCGCAGCCAGCAAAUGCGGUCAACAUCAAAAGGAACACAAAACAAAGAUGGCAGCGUGAACGAGAGCGGGCGAGACAUGGCAAAUUUAGGAGAAAAAAAACAGUAAAUGUAACAAGAAACUGGAACUAGAACUAUUACUAGCUUUACACACACACGCACGCACACAGAUUGCAAUGCACGGCCAUAAGCGACAUGUGUGUGGAUGAAGUGCGGGUGCGGGUGCGGGGCAGCCGGCUGCACUGCUAAAACAACAAUCUAACAUUUUUUGCGCUUUGACGACAAUUUCCCUCGCGGCACAAAAUGCCAACACCAAAUGCGAAUGCGAAGGCGAACUUAACGAAACAACGGGAGUAACAUACGAAAAAAACAAAACAGCAAGGAUGAUUAUAUAUAUAAAAGCCGCUCUUCUUCCUACUAAAAGAUGACAGUUAAAUCGUGCCUGUAUAUAUGAACUUUUCGAUUCGGAAAAAAAAUGAGAACAAAGAGUGCCGACUAAUAAAUACCCCGGGCCAGACUACAUGAAGCGCCGACAUUCAUAUAGGAGGAGGCCGCUUCAACUGUAGAGGAGACGGACUCGACUAUGGAGAAAGCUUUAAUAUUAGAGGUGACGGCGGCUUCAACUAUAGAGGAGAUGGCUUCAACUAUAG